UCCGGUUUGGCACCGGCAGUCCCCCUAGAGUCCCCGGCAUUAUCCGCUGGUAACUAAGGGCAAGGGUUGCGCUCGUUGCGGGACUUAACCCAACAUCUCACGACACGAGCUGACGACAGCCAUGCAGCACCUGUGCACGAGCUCCGAAGAGGGGCCCCUGUUUCCAGAGGCUUUCUCGUACAUGUCAAGUCUGGGUAAGGUUCUUCGCGUUGCGUCGAAUUAAACCACAUGCUCCACCGCUUGUGCGGGCCCCCGUCAAUUCCUUUGAGUUUCAACCUUGCGGUCGUACUCCCCAGGCGGGGCACUUAAUGCGUUAGCGCCGGCACUCGGGGGGUCGCUCCCCCAAGCACCUAGUGCCCAUCGUUUACGGCGUGGACUAC
rnacentral:misc_RNA from 1 species